UACGUAGGGGGCAAGCGUUGUCCGGAUUUAUUGGGCGUAAAGAGCGUGUAGGCGGCCGUACAGGUCAGCUGUGAAAACUCGAGGCUCAACCUCGAGACGUCGGUUGAAACCGUACGGCUAGAGUCCGGAAGAGGAGGGUGGAAUUCCCGGUGUAGCGGUGAAAUGCGCAGAUAUCGGGAAGAACACCCGUGGCGAAGGCGGCUCUCUGGGACGGUACUGACGCUGAGACGCGAAAGCGUGGGGAGCGAACAGG
rnacentral:rRNA from 1 species